CAUCAGGUAGCUCAGUGGGUAGAGCACCUGCCUAGAGAUUCAGGGGGCCCAGGUUUGAAUCCUGGUUUGGUCC
rfam:Crassostrea gigas strain 05x7-T-G4-1.051#20 contig18093, whole genome shotgun sequence.